CCUACGGGAGGCAGCAGUGAGGAAUAUUGGUCAAUGGGCGCGAGCCUGAACCAGCCAAGUCGCGUGAGGGAAGACGGUCCUAUGGAUUGUAAACCUCUUUUGUCGGGGAGCAAAAGACGCCACGCGUGGCGUUCCGAGAGUCCCCGAAGAAAAAGCAUCGGCUAACUCCGUGCCAGCAGCCGCGGUAAUACGGAGGAUGCGAGCGUUAUCCGGAUUUAUUGGGUUUAAAGGGUGCGCAGGCGGAAUAUCAAGUCAGCGGUAAAAUUGAGAGGCUCAACCUCUUCGAGCCGUUGAAACUGGUUGGCUUGAGUGAGUGAGAAGUAGGCGGAAUGCGUGGUGUAGCGGUGAAAUGCAUAGAUAUCACGCAGAACUCCGAUUGCGAAGGCAGCAUACCGGCGCUCAACUGACGCUGAGGCACGAAAGUGUGGGUAUCGAACAGGAUUAGAUACCCCGGUAGUC
rnacentral:rRNA from 1 species